CUUUACAGCAUCCAUGAUGCCUUAAAGGCAUACUAUGCAGUUUCCAUUUUUGUCAAACAGCGACCCCUAGAGUCGCUGUGGAGUAGAUGUAUUUAACGUUACCUUUGCUGCUUUUUAGCUCUC